rnacentral:rRNA from 1 species
UACAGAGGGUGCAAGCGUUAAUCGGAAUUACUGGGCGUAAAGCGUGCGUAGACGGUUAUUUAAGUCAGGUGUGAAAGCCCAGGGCUCAACCUUGGAAUGCAUUUGAGACUGAAUAGCUAGGGUGCGGAAGAGGGAAGCGGAAUUUCCGGUGUAGCGGUGAAAUGCGUAGAUAUCGGAAGGAACACCAGUGGCGAAAGCGGCUUCCUGGUUCAGCACCGACGUCAGGCACGAAAGCGUGGGGAGCAAACAGG